ACGGCACGGCGUGAGGGCAGCGUGGGAGGAAGAGGGAGAGAAGAGUACACGCGCGGUUGAAGAGAACAGCAGAGGACUAGCUGGGAAAAUCAAAUUUAAUGUCAAAGUGAUUAAAAGUUGUAGACCUGCAUACUUUUAAAGUAUUGGCGCAACUAUUAUUUUGCAGUUUAGCGUCUCACUAUACCGAAAUUCAUAGUGAAGUGCAGUUACUGUUUUCUUUUACUAGCUUGAAAAAGUCUAAGCGUGGACUCAGGCAUGGACAUUUAAGCACGUAUUGAUAUCAGAGACAGUUAUAAACACAAUCCGCCACUUUCACUGAGGAGGAUCGGGAGAGCUGAGGACUUCGCUGGAGGACCGUGCAUGCUAAUGAACUUGUUGCUGUGAGGAAGGACCCCGCCGCUAAACUUGCUGGACACACGGACGACACCUGUUGCAUCUGGCCUGCUGCUGCUGCUUCAUCUCUACCGUCAACUCUUCAGACCUGCUUUGCAUCUUGGAUUCGUGUCAAACUUGGACAGGAAGUCAGAGGAUUUAAGCCCCGUGUUUCCUGCCACGGUAUGACUCGGUUAUCGUUCAAGCACAGCUGUUUCUACUGAGAAGCGUUGUCAUCCCCCUUGUUGCCAGGAUCAUUUUGAUGAAGAUGAUCAGAGGGAGAUGAUGCCACAUCUGGUCCCGCCUAUGGAAGGUCUUGAAGUUCUCUGACUGAAGAUGGUCCUCUCAGUGGAUUUAAGGUUCAGAUGCUCAGGAACAAACUCCACCAAUGAGCCAACAGGGAAGCUUUAGGUUUAUUAAAUGUUGCUAUGAAGGUUUCGCUGUUUUUCUUUGUGAAUGCAAUGUGCUCCAACUGAAACUUGAACUAGAACUUAGAAGUACAUCCUUCCCUCUGAAAAGAUUUAGCUGCAUUAAUAACCUCAUAACAUUCUAAUUUUUGUUCCAGUCUUGGUUGGAAAUAGAAUCUCUGAAUUGAUUCAGGUAAAAACUGAACUUCACAGCAUGUUGGAGCAAAACAACCAGAUGAAAAGUGUGAUGGUGUUGGAUUGUCAGACUGUAAUGUUGCAGCUCAAAGCAGCUUUUCUAUCUCAGUUCAUGCUGACAUUCAGCUCUGAAUCAACAGCAGAUCCAGUUGAUGGUGAUCCAUGCUGUGGAAGUCUCACAUCUCCUGAUUUAAUGGAGCUGCUUUGCACUUUUUACACUUCAUUCACCAACACUUUAUUUAAUAAAAGUCCCAUCUCGUUUUUAUGAGGAAUGUGAUGCUUUAAUUUCUCUGUGAAUAACUGCAGUCUAAUGGAACAGCUGGAGUUGUAACAUCUGUCCUGAUGUUGAUCAUGAAGUAUUGAUCAGAAUACUUAUGGUUAGCAAUCAACCCUGAAGUUUUGCAUUCAAAUCUUUACUUUUGUUGUGAACUUUGGUAAGAAGCAGAAACUUUAGCGUUGCCAUGGAUACAUGAGUGUAAAAUUCUGUUCAUGUUUCCAUUUUGGGAAAUGCAGUCCAGCAGAUGAGUUUCUUUUUACUGACAGCUACCAUUCAGUCCGAGAUAUUAUGACUAAAUAAAUGUGCAUAAUGUGGAAAUGAACAGAUUUUAUUUUUAUUUAUUCCUACAGCUGCUGCAGGUAAAGUUCCAGAAUGUGGAGGAAUUUAGUCUCACAGUCACAGACUAUAAAUAUUAUCUGAAAGUCGGGUUAUUGUUGUUUAUCAGCACAAUACAAAAACAUUAAUGUCAGACAUAUUCCAGUUAAGACUCUAGAAUAUAAUGAUUUAUGUAAAUUUAUCUCAAUAAUAUGAAUGCUAUGAAUGUUCAGGUUAAGAUUUUGCAGUGAUAUUUAGCUGAUUAAAGUUUAUGACUGCAUGACAAUAUUUAUUUAAAUUGACAUCAGUAUUAGAAUAUUUAGGGUCAGACCCUACAGUAUUGAGAUUAAGAAAUCAAAUAUUCUAUGAAAUGUAAAUACACUGAACUAAUUUGGAUAUAUUUAAGUGAGACUCUACAAUAUUUGACACAAAUCUAAAUCAAAAAAUUUAAUCAUUUUUACUCCAAACAUUUACUGGACUGAUUUAAAUAUUAAAAUCACUCCUUACCACUACUCUGCUGUAUGUUUAAACCUGAGGCCUUAAAUAGAAACAUACAAGUAUCUGUUUGAAGGAACUUCUGCAGAGUCCUGGUUCCAGAACAUGAUAGACUUGUAGACAAACUUUAACAAAAGCUGCCUGAGAGCUGACAGGUUAUGUUAGAUUUCUUCAUUAAUUUAAUGAGUUAUCAGCAAAAGUCAAGUUUUCAUUUGAUGAAUUUCAUUUCCUAAAACAUCCAGAAUUGGAGCUCAUAUCUUUGGCAGCUGUAAAGUUUCUGCUCCUUCAAAGUUCACAACACAAUGAAUUAAUUCCUAAAACACUCUGAAUGCUGGAGAGCGUUCGUGAUGCUGAAGCAGUGACCACUUUUUCUGUUUCUUCUCUGGAGAUGCACAAUGAGGGACGUCUGCAGCGACUGAGAAAGAGUCUCACCACAUCCUGACAUGAGGAAAAAGACUACUGAAUAAUACAAUGAGAAAAACUAUCCAGACAGCAGACGGCAUGCAUUCAAGGUCAACUCUGAACAUCUGAUCUGGAACAGGAAUUACGGCAGCCUGAGCUUCAUUUCAGUCUGUAACUGCUGAAUUCAUGGAUGAAUCAUCUGCCACUACAGUAAAAACCAAGAGCUCCUUUAUUUGUGACUCCCACUAAAAAAACUGAUUAAAAUAAGUUUGCCAGGGUUCUGACUGAUAACAGGUUAUUAAAUAAUGAAAAUAAUAGUUUAAAUGUUCCUUUAAACAAUCCUUUGAGGUCUACAUUUCCUUGACACUGACUUCUUGGUAUAUGUACAUGUAUUGAGGGUGGAAUAUACCAUUAAGCCCAAUGUUCAAGGGUUCUUCUGGGAAUAUACCACUAAGCCAACCUUUUAGGUAAAUGUUCCAGGAUGUUGGGUAGAAUAUACCAUUAGAUAAACCUUUUAGGUCUACAUUGGAAGAUUUUUGAGUAGAAUAUUACUCCAAAUCAUCCUUUAGGUGGUCUACAUUUAAGGUGGAAUACUCCUUGACACCAAGAUUUUUUGAUCUACAUUGAAGGAUUUUAGGUGGAAUAUUCCUUUGAAUGAACUUUUUAAGUUUAUGUUCAAGGAUGUUGGGUGGAAUAUACCAUUAAACUUAAUUUUUAGGUCUACAUUGGAAGAUUUUCAGUGGAAUUUUCUUCCAAACCGUCUUUUAGUCUACAUGUAAGGAUGUUUAGGAUGGUAUAUUCUUCCAAACCAACUUCUCAGGUCAACAUUUCAGGUGAAAUAUUCCUCCAUACUAACUUUUUUGGUCCACAUUGAAGGAUUUUUUCUAAGCCACCCUUUCGGGUCUAUAUUUGAGGUUUUAAGUGAAUAUUCCUUUUAACCAGCCCCUCAGGUCUCUUUGAGGAUUUUGGAUGGAAUACUCGGUUAAACCAACAUUUUAGGUGCAUGUCCAGGGAUUUUUGGUAGAAUGAUCCUUUAAGGUGGAUGUGUGAGGACCAUGUAGGUGGAAUACUUCCUGAAACCAACCUUUUAGGUCAACAUUCAAAGAUUUAAGGUGGAAUAUUCCUUUAAACCAACUUCAAUUUCUUGUUUUUGAUCAUUAUCAAGUGAGAAACCUCAAUCCAGACUCCUCAUAAUGACAUUUGAGAUUUAUGCUGCUGUUAUUUGUUUAGUCCAGACUAAAUGACAGAAAUCCACAACUGCAAUUUUAUUUCAGGACUCUGUUAUUAAAUUUCAAAACUAUCCAUGUGAUUCUAAAAACUCAACAGCUUUACAAACUCGAAGAUUAAAUUCACCACAAGGAUCCAAAACAAGUUGGACUUCUACAUGAGAGCUUUAAUUAUUCUUCAUCUACUUCCUGAAAAGUUUGGUCAAUAAAAAAGACAAAAACUAAUAUUUUCAGCUGAACUAAAGACAGACUUUGUGAUUUUUCUGCUCACAUGUUGUGUUGUUGUAAACUUACUCUUUAAAUAAAUACCCCCUAACCCCCUGGAAACCAGCGUUUGUCCUGGUUUUGUAUCGCUCCUCGGUGACCCUAGACAGCUGGUUGUAAUGUUUUUUGAGCAACACACCAUACUAUGACAUUUUUACAGUGAAGGUUCUACUAUGAAACCAGUUUGUCAUGUUCAAGCGUUCUUUGUGUGAAAACUUAGAGAUUUCAGGUAUCAGAAGGUGGUUUUCAACUUUCUUUGUUAACUUUCUUCUUCAAAUAUAAACUAAAUAAAUAUAAACUAAAUUUACUUCACUAAGCCAGCCCUCUGGACUUCCAGUAAGCUGUGUUCCUAUUGGCUGUCCAGGUGGCUGCUUAGUGUUAUCAGGAACACCUGAGCAGCUCAGUGUCUUCCUGCUUUAUGACUGCAGUCAAACAUUUCCUCUGCUUCUCUUCACUGAACCAGCUUUGGCUCUGUUGCUUUAGUUUGUUCUUUAGGCGUUGGCUUGCAACUUCCAGCUGUAAAAUCCUCUUUAAUGUGUUUCUUGGUGUGUUUUAGAGCUUUGUACUGGAUAGUUGUCUUGGUAAAUGUGGUUCUUUAGGCACAGUUGGCACAUGGUGCUAAUGUGUGCAGUGAUUAGUGGGUUUGGUGCAGCUGAGUUGUCUUUAUCUUGGCUGCAGUGAGUCUUUAGAGGUUUUUGGUCAGACACAUUCUGUAUUCUUGUUUGUGAACCAAUGUUGGUUGUCCAGAAGGUAAGAGUUCCUGUCCUGAUUCUGUUUAAAGAGGUCCUCUAGUAGGCUGCAGGACACUUUAGCGUUUGGGUUGUGCUAGUUUGGUUUUUGUACGGUUUCAUUUGGACGACUAUCUUGAGGGCCCUCUAUGUGGUUUAGUGAGGUUUUCUGUAACAGUUCUACAAAGCAACCUGCAGCAGAAGAGACUUUGAGAGUUUUUAGGAAGUUCUGGAGACCAGAUUUAGAGCAGCAGAAACAUUUGUUAGCAGUUUGAGAAGGUGAGCUUCAGAGUAGAAAUGAGAAGGAAACCUUCUUGACCUGUGUGGUGAGGUCCUGUACCAAGACUUUGAGCAGGUUGUGAAGAGUCUGUAGUUCUUUGGUCUGAAAGCACCAGAAGAGUUGACACAUUAAAGGAGAAAACAGGAGGAAUUGUUGGUUCUUCUGUCGCUCUGCAGUUUCCUUAGUGUAUAUCAGGUUUCUAUUUUAAAUGAUUUACCAUGUGAGUCCAAGAAGACUUCAAUAAACUCUCUCCAUCCCCCGGACACAACAGAUUUUAUUACUAUGUUAAGACUUUUUUUUUUUUUUUUAAAUGUUUGUUUUAAUCUGUUUUGGCAUAGUUUUUUUUUUCUCUUUGCUUGUGCAGUUUUGUGUGAAAGGUGCUAAACAAAUAAAGUUGAAUU